CAGACGUCAGAACGGAUAGGAGAGAUAGGAAAGAUAGAAGAAGAAUAUUAAUCAAAACAAGAAUAAUAUUGACCAAACAGAAAUCAAACACAUUUCUUUUGACCGAAAAGCUUCAAUCCUGAUUAACCACUUCCUGAACAAAGACCUCGUUGGACCAUCGUAACAGAUGGAAACGUAUUAAUCACUUGAAUCCUGACACUCGGAGCCACAUUGAAAAACAUACACACACACACACACACACACACACACACACACACACACACACACUCAUAUCAUCAGCGUCCCAACAGGAGCCAGACUGCAUCAAGAGCAACAAAUCAUGGGUC